rnacentral:rRNA from 1 species
AUGCAAGAUGGAAAGGUAAUUUCCUAUGCUUCUAGGCAACUGGAAAAGCAUGAGCAGAACUAUCCUACACAUGAUCUAGAGCUUGCGGCUGUGGUCUUUGCACUCAAGAUAUGGAGGCCUUAUCUUUACGGAGAAUCUUGUGAUAUUUUCACUGAUCAUAAGAGUCUCAAAUAUAUCUUCACUCAAAAGGAGCUAAACUUGAGGCAAAGACGAUGCUUAGAAUUGAUAAAGGACGAUGACCUCUCAAUCCAGUACCACCCUGGCAAAGCAAAUGUGGUUGCGGAUGCUCUUAGCCGCAAGAUUGUCCCUCCCACUUUAGGUUGUCACAUUGCUGAUUUUGAGCGGAUAGGCAUCUCAUAUUGUUUUGCUGGUGUAGCACAUGAGGAGACACAAUUCAUCCUUCAGUCAACUAUCCCAGACAGAGUGAGAGAGGCACAACAGAAUGACCGGUUGUUGUUGGAGGUGCGGAAGCGCAUCCAAGAAGGUAGAACUGGAGAUUUCAAUCUAGAUGGGACUGGAUCUGUUCGGUUUCAUGGCUGUCUUUGUGUGCCACAAAAGUCCCAGGUCAAGGAGGAUAUUCUGAGAGAAGCACAUCGUACCCCAUAUACGGUUCAUCCUGGAGAGACAAAGAUGUAUCAAGAUUUGAAGAGGACUUAUUGGUGGAAAAGGAUGAAAGUUGAUGUGGCAAAGUAUGCGGCUUCUUGUGUGGUCUGUCAACUUGUGAAGGCGGAGCAUAAGAGACCAGCUGGUUUGUUGCAGUCCUUAGAGGUUCCAAAGUGGCCAUGGGAUGACAUCGCCAUGGAUUUGCUGUUGGCCUACCUCGCACUUGAAGGGGAAGGGAUGCAAUUUGGGUGGUGGUGA